UACGUGAAUGACAUACAUCGACUAAGUUUUUCAAAUCUUUUAGUUAUAUCCUUAUGGCAUGAGAUAACCUUUUUGCUUUUUGUCUUAUUUUUCUUGAAUUGAACUGAAUUCUUCAGCUUGAAGCAUGGUAUUCUUUAUUAUAUUAUGAGUGUUGAUUUAUUUUAAUUAUGAGCGAAUGUCCAAAUAUUUUAUAGUGACUAUUUUGUAUUUUUUCACUGAAAGUAGGCUAAAAGAUUUAUAUUUCGGAAAAUAAAUGUAAGAAAAUAAGCGUAGGAAGGAAGCCUUUUCCAGGUUUGUCGACUAUGGCCAUGGACACCGUUGCCGUUUCGAUUUUUCGAAUAUUGCAGAAUUGCAGACGACAUCUGUGCAGUUCUCUUCCGACAGUGACAGCCCUAAUUCACGCAGCACAUAGCGAGCGUGCAGCGAGUGUACGACGAAAAAACUCUACAACCCACAAAACCGGAAGCCAAACUGCACUUUUUGCGAGUUCUUUUCAUUUGGAUUUUAAGGGUUUCAUCAAUUGCACAUAACUGUUUUCCUAGUUUGACUAAAUAUCAAAUUGGAUUGAGAGUAUACUUUGCUGUCGUGGUUCCAUUUUAGUCCUGACUUGUUGCUUCAAUUUAGUGUGUUGUUUCAUCUUGUUCUGGGCAUUUCCUGUGCUAAAGAAUGCCACUCCGGUUAGAGGUAUGCGUCAUUUGAGAUCUACUGGAAUUUAAACAUUUUUAGAAAAUGAUUGAAUCUUGAAACUCAUCUUCCUGCCAAGUGUUAGGCCAUUUCAAGCGAUUCACAAGAGCAUUCACAAGACUUCAUUCCUCCAUAGUAAUUUUUUAAAAAGUUUCUAAAUUUGCAUUUCAGACUUGAUGAGAAGUCAUGACAUUUCAAGAAAAAGGACAAGGACUAUACAGUCAAUAAGGUUCCUUGUUUGCCAACCUAUUGGCUGCUACCCUUGGUUCUCCAUUUUUACUUCCUCCCUCUUGAUUUGAGGUAAUGAAUGAUUGGAAUCGAUACCAUUCUGUCUCGACACCGAAAUUCUUUGGAACGAGAAUUGAGGUUGUGAUGUGCUAGUAAUGCUACAGCAUAAAGGGCAUCACCCGUCAACAAAGUGCUUAGUUUGUUAACCCGUUGACUUCUACACAACACUUUAAAUCCCCAUCCUUCCGCUCUUAUUUUGAGGUAAAUCUUGCGCCGCUAAUCCAUAUAGGCUGAAUCCAUUGGUGGAAACUGAAAAGGGAUCAGUGACGACUGACUGACGUGUUGUCAUCAGCAAUACUGCUCACAUAGUGCCAUCCUUCCAUUGCCCCCGAGGCGUGGUGCCUGCUCCAGCUUCGCGGCCAGAAUAAUUUGACUUCGACUACCCAACCGACGGCCUGGUGGGUCAACUCACCCUUCACUGACUAUCCUUCUACCCCUGCUCUCAACACAGCACGGAGUUUCUCGAGGACGACGAGAUCAUGGUUUUGAUGGGGAGAAUAUGUUGUUUCUAAAAUUUGCAUGACAGUCGUCAUGAGAUGUAAUGGCCUUAAUCAAGAAAGUCUACAAAGUCCUUUGUUUGCUAACCCAAUGGCUGCUCAAAAAAUCUCCCCUUUACUGCCUUACACAGGCCCUCUUGA